rnacentral:misc_RNA from 1 species
CUGCCCUCAAGCACGGCUUGUGUGUUGGGCCCCGUCCUCCGCUCCCGGGGGACGGGCCCGAAAGGCAGCGGCGGCACCGCGUCCGGUCCUCGAGCGUAUGGGGCUUUGUCACCCGCUCUGUAGGCCCGGCCGGCGCUUGCCGAUCAACCAAACUUUUAUCCA